UACGUAGGGGGCAAGCGUUGUCCGGAAUGACUGGGCGUAAAGGGAGUGUAGGCGGCCUUUUAAUUUAUAUGUGAAAGCCCCCGGCUUAACCGAGGAACUGCAUAUAAAACUGGAGGGCUGGAGUGCAGGAGAGGUAAGCGGAAUUUCUAGUGUAGCGGUGGAAUGCGUAGAUAUUAGGAGGAACACCAGUGGCGAAGGCGGCCUGCUGGACGGUGACUGACGCUGAGGCUCGAAAGCGUGGGGAUCGAACAGG
rnacentral:rRNA from 1 species